rnacentral:lncRNA from 1 species
CUGCCCUACAAAGUCGAGGACAUCGGACUAGCUGCCUGGGGAUGGAAGGCCCUACACAUAGCUGAGAAUGAAAUGCUGGGUUUAAUGCUCAUGCGGGAGAUGUACUCAGCCUCCAAGCCACUGAAGGGCGCUCGCAUUGCUGGCUGCCUGCACAUGACUGUGGAGACUGCUGUCCUCAUUGAGACUCUCAUGACCCUGGGUGCUGAGGUGCGGUGGUCCAGCUGCAACAUCUUCUCCACUCAGGACCAUGCAGCGGCUGCCAUUGCCAAGGCUGGCAUUCCAGUGUUUGCCUGGAAGGGAGAGACAUGAAGAGUAUCUGUGGUGCAUUGAGCAGACGUUGCACUUCAAGGAUGGACCCCUCA